GGGGUGCAGUGGCGGACGGGUGAGUAACACGUACGUGACCUGCCGCGAAGUGGGGGAUACCGGUCCGAAAGGGCCGCUAAUACCGCAUGUGGUCCCCGAGGAGGCUCGGGGAGUAAAGGGCUUCGGCCCGCUUGGCGAGGGGCGUGCGGCCGAUUAGCUAGUUGGCGGGGUAAGCGCCCACCAAGGCAACGAUCGGUAGCUGGGCUGAGAGGCCGAACAGCCACACUGGGACUGAGAUACGGCCCAG
rnacentral:rRNA from 1 species